AGCGGCUGCCAUGGAAACGCCCCUUGCCCACAGCCCUCGAGCCGCCGCCGCCCUGGUCAACUGGUGGGAAAAGGCUGCUUUCCUAAAAAAACGCUCAAUGCACAUUCACGGGAAGGACAUAAGAAAGAGGAGCAGGUCACCUAUGUAUGGUCCCUCGUCCCUGCUCCAAAUAAAAGAUCCUGAAUUUAGGAAGUUAUGAUACAAGAAGAAACUGCUCCACAAAUAUAAAGAUGAUCCACCAGUCUUUAUUUAGCCUUUUGGAUAGAGAAGGAAAACUGGAAUGGUCUUGGGUUGCUGUCACAAAAGAUUAAUUCCUGACUGGUUCAUCAAGACACAAAAUUUAUAAUAGCAAAAAAUUGAGGUACACAGACACAUCUUCCAGAUCAAACUGCCAAAAUCUGGAUAGCCAGCUAUGGAAGAGAAAAAAUGAAGAAGACGGAAGUGUUUCAAAAAUUGAAGUAUUUUGAUGUAAUGAAAGCAGUAAUGUACAACAUGGCAUAUCUACAUUUCAUGAAUAUGUUGCUAGGCAUUCCUUUCCUAUAGUCAUCUUAUUACAGAAACAUAUAAUUUAAAUGGAAAAUCAUUUGUCUGUAAAAUUAUAGCUUGGCAACUAAUUAGAAAUAGAAUGCCUGAUUUGAUUUCUAAUUUGUAUGAAAUAAACAAUUUUUAAACAUUA